CGGGAUAGCUCAGCUGGUAAAGCAGAGGACUGAAAAUCCUCGUGUCACAGAUUCAAAUAAAAAA
rnacentral:tRNA from 1 species